CGCUGGCGGCAGGCCUAACACAUGCAAGUCGAACGGUAACAGGAAACAGCUUGCUGUUUCGCUGACGAGUGGCGGACGGGUGAGUAAUGUCUGGGAAACUGCCUGAUGGAGGGGGAUAACUACUGGAAACGGUAGCUAAUACCGCAUAACGUCGCAAGACCAAAGAGGGGGACCUUCGGGCCUCUUGCCAUCGGAUGUGCCCAGAUGGGAUUAGCUAGUAGGUGGGGUAACGGCUCACCUAGGCGACGAUCCCUAGCUGGUCUGAGAGGAUGACCAGUCACACUGGAACUGAGACACGGUCCAGACUCCUACGGGAGGCAGCAGUGGGGAAUAUUGCACAAUGGGCGCAAGCCUGAUGCAGCCAUGCCGCGUGUAUGAAGAAGGCCUUCGGGUUGUAAAGUACUUUCAGCGGGGAGGAAGGGAGUAAAGUUAAUACCUUUGCUCAUUGACGUUACCCGCAGAAGAAGCACCGGCUAACUCCGUGCCAGCAGCCGCGGUAAUACGGAGGGUGCAAGCGUUAAUCGGAAUUACUGGGCGUAAAGCGCACGCAGGCGGUUUGUUAAGUCAGAUGUGAAAUCCCCGGGCUCAACCUGGGAACUGCAUCUGAUACUGGCAAGCUUGAGUCUCGUAGAGGGGGGUAGAAUUCCAGGUGUAGCGGUGAAAUGCGUAGAGAUCUGGAGGAAUACCGGUGGCGAAGGCGGCCCCCUGGACGAAGACUGACGCUCAGGUGCGAAAGCGUGGGGAGCAGACAGGAUUAGAUACCCUGGUAGUCCACGCCGUAAACGAUGUCGACUUGGAGGUUGUGCCCUUGAGGCGUGGCUUCCGGAGCUAACGCGUUAAGUCGACCGCCUGGGGAGUACGGCCGCAAGGUUAAAACUCAAAUGAAUUGACGGGGGCCCGCACAAGCGGUGGAGCAUGUGGUUUAAUUCGAUGCAACGCGAAGAACCUUACCUGGUCUUGACAUCCACGGAAGUUUUCAGAGAUGAGAAUGUGCCUUCGGGAACCGUGAGACAGGUGCUGCAUGGCUGUCGUCAGCUCGUGUUGUGAAAUGUUGGGUUAAGUCCCGCAACGAGCGCAACCCUUAUCCUUUGUUGCCAGCGGUCCGGCCGGGAACUCAAAGGAGACUGCCAGUGAUAAACUGGAGGAAGGUGGGGAUGACGUCAAGUCAUCAUGGCCCUUACGACCAGGGCUACACACGUGCUACAAUGGCGCAUACAAAGAGAAGCGACCUCGCGAGAGCAAGCGGACCUCAUAAAGUGCGUCGUAGUCCGGAUUGGAGUCUGCAACUCGACUCCAUGAAGUCGGAAUCGCUAGUAAUCGUGGAUCAGAAUGCCACGGUGAAUACGUUCCCGGGCCUUGUACACACCGCCCGUCACACCAUGGGAGUGGGUUGCAAAAGAAGUAGGUAGCUUAACCUUCGGGAGGGCGCUUACCACUUUGUGAUUCAUGACUGGGGUG
rnacentral:rRNA from 1 species